AAUUUUUGUGCAAGUGGUAAAUGCUUAAUAAGUGCAACUUGUGUAAAUUAUUAUUGCGGUCGGGAAUAGUUUAAUAUUAUUCCGCUCUAAGCGGUGCAACUAUGUAAGAAAUAAUAGAGCACUCGAGGAGCCCAUGGGCAGUGUGCAUUUUUCGUUGCCGUUUAAAGAGGGGCUGACCAUUGGUUUGGAAAACUAACAAGUAGGAGCAUAAUGAACAAUGCCCGAGCACGCGCGAAACCAAGAGGUGUGAAAUUGGGCUCACGGGCGGUACUUGGGCUCUUCGGUUCUUUGGGUUCCUCCGGAACUGGGUUCUGGAAAAUGCACCAGAUGACCAGUGAGAAACGGUUUUGCUUUUGGCGGAAGUGCCCUGGUACCUUUCUAUGGAUGAGAACCUGCAGUUCGUGCUGACAGCGAGCGCUAUUACAUAAAUGUUUGUUUUGACAACAAUAGCGGCAGCAAAAACCACAACAAAAACAACAAUGGGCCGGAGACAAGAUUGCAUAAUUGCUUGUAAGAUUUGCUCCCACAAUUUCUCAUUUUUUGUCAUGAGACAAACGUACCGGCUGAUUGUUAUCUCCGCUGGAAGAGAGGAAAGAGAGCCAGAGAUGUGAUUUGGGAGACUGAUCCUUUUACAGCAACUUACAGCCCAGACUCUCAAUAUCGAGCUUUUUCCGCGCAAAAGCUGCUCUCUGCGAGCGAUAGAGAUGCUCAAUAGGGCAGAGAGAGUGGGCACAGUGGGCACUCUGUUUAUUUUCGAGCUGCUUAUCCAAAUGCAUUCAAAUAUGGCCAUAAAUUCUAAUGUAGCACUUUCGUAAUUGUCGGCUUUAUUUAUGCACUGUGAACAGCCAGCGGGCUAGCUAGCGCCGCUGCCUCUCCCGCUGUCCACGCUCUAAUGGCCAACCAGUGUUGGCAGUUGAAAUUACUUAUGCCUAUAUUGGGCCAGCUCUGUGAUCCUUCUUGCUGUUAGGUUAUUUGAGUUCUGAAAGUGCCUUAUUUCAUUUGGAAUAAAAAGGGCUUGGUUUCGCAAAGCUUUAUUUUGUUGUAUUAUUUAUGACUUAAACAUGGUAGGUGUAGUUUUUUUAUUGUAACUAAUAA